CGAACGGGUGAGUAAUAUAUCGGAACGUACCCAAGAGUGGGGGGACGAACCAGUCGAAAGAUUGGCUAAUACCGCAUACGAUCUAAGGAUGAAAGUGGGGGACCUUCGGGCCUCACGCCCCUGGAGCGGCCGAUAGCUGAUUAGCUAGUUGGUGGGGUAAAGGCCUACCAAGGCGAUGAUCAGUAACUGGUCUGAGAGGACGAUCAGCCACACUGGGACUGAGACACGGCCCAG
rnacentral:rRNA from 1 species